UGGCAUUUGUCAGAAAUUCCUACUUCUUGAUUAAUUUGGGAAAAUGAGGAGUGUGUGGCCAUGCUGAUAUCCUUUAACCUGGAGUGCUCAUGUUGGUGUUUUGCGGAAGUUCUCUAUGGAGAAAGAGCCUCAAAUUUCCUCAUUGACAAUUUUGUCCUCUAAUGAGCCUGGCAACUCAGGGCUGGAAAAACACAGGCUGCUGCUCUCCCCUCCUGUGGUCAUGACAGACAUUGCUAAUCAAGUACAGCACUCUUCUUACUGAGCCUGGAUGGGCCUGGGAACCUUCCAGAAGACAGCAUUCAAGGUCCUGUGAAUGUUGCCUUAUUUGGAAAAGAGCCUUUGCAGUUGUUUAGGAUCGUGAAACAAUGAGAUCAUCCUGCAUUCUUUGUUGAGCCCUAAAUCCAGUGACAGUGUCCUUCUAGGAGUGAAGUGGAGGCAGAUUUAACAGAGAGGAGAUGGAGGAAAUGUGACCACAGAAGCAGAGAUUGGAGUGAUGUGUCCACAAGUCAGUGAAUACCUACAGCCUAGAAGGGGCCGAGCAUUGAUUCUCCACUGCAGCCUCCAGAGGGAGGGUGGCACUGCUGAUGUCUUGGUUUUGGACUGCUGGCCUCCAGAAACGUGAACAGAUAUAGUUCAGUUGCCCCAUCAUGUGACUGUAGCUCCACCAAUCUGAUGAUCUUAAGCCAAGGUUUGCCAAGAAGUAGAACAGG